CGAUCUUAUGUCUAGUUUAUUAUAUCGUGUUCAAUACUAUUGAGAAUAACUACGCAAAAAAGUAGAUAGGCUCUGAAAACCCGUUUUAUAUUGAAGAUUUAAAAAAAAUCAACAGUACGUCCUUUACAAUUAUACCGUCCGGCGGUGCAGAGAAAAUGAGCAAAAAUAAUUUAAGAAUCUCGCCACCCUGGAGGCGUCUCAAUGUAGCGAGCGAGCGUUAACGAUAUCAUCACGAAACAAUAUUGAAAUAGUAUCGAUGCGAUGGCUGAAACAUAAUUUUCGUAUCUGACGCCCAUGAUCCAACGCCGAGUAAAACUUGGGUAAGCUUGUCGGCAAAUAUAUUUAAGCGAAAGCAUUUUUUUUUUCUUUAGUAAAGAAAGAGCGCCACAUUUAAAUAAUGCCUUCAUCGACUUUUUUUUUUAGAAAUUUUCUGUCAACGCUUUUGUCACAUAUCCAAACUCACUGCCAAAAAUAUGUACAAAUAUAGCCUCCAUUUUGAGCGCUAUUGAAAAUUAGAAACAAACAAAUUUUGUAUACGGCCAAAAGUAUUUGUAGGUACGUAUAAAAACAUUUAUUUAUUGAUAAUAAAAUAUUAAUAAAAAGAAAUACUUAUCAAGCAUUUUAUUACAGUCACAUUAUAAGUAUAUCUUACAGUAAGACAUCUGCCAUGGAAUAUCAUAGGAAAUAUUUCUGAUUUAAUUGCUGUUAUAAUUAUCGUUACUUCAAAUCCGUCCAUUUCUCUCACACCUCCGCUUUCUUCUCGAUUCGUUUACGAGAAAGUUUAAUAAGGAGCGAAGCUGAGUAAAGCGCUCGUAAUUGGAGAUCAGGGCUGUUAUUAUUAUGUGUAUAAACAUAAUUUUUACGUAGACAAAUUUACAUGAAUAAUGACUGAAUUAAUGAAUAUUAUCUUUAGAAAAUCAGAACGGUUAAUAGGGAAGCAUCCUGAAUGAUAAUUAUGUAAAAUUAUUAUUAUAUAGCCACAAAAAAUAUUGUAAAAACGUAAAUGGAUUUUUUUAAACGAUUUCGAAAUCUGAUUAAUAAAUAAUCCAUUACUUAAGUCGGUUGCAAGACAGGUGCAAAGUUGGAACAUUAGACUAUCUCUGUCUCGCAUGCCUGCACUCUGAUAUUAGUGACGUAAUAAAGUGUACUUCGCAAAAAAUAAUAAUAAACACCCUCAUUGCCUCGUUUGUUGAAUCCUGUAUGUGUUAUUAAUAAGUAGCUAAUACUUACAGAUCCCCAGCCUGACAUAGAAGUAAAACUCUACGGGAUCCGGAACUAAUACUUCGUAGAGUCUUUGUCGAAGGUUGCAUGCAGUCUUUGCUCUAUAAAUAACUUAUAAAACCUAACUGACUUACGGCCGUUUUCAAUAACGUAUCUGAGUUUUCGGAUAGAUAGCUAUCUCCGAAUAUCAGCAAGAGCGUAUCUAUCCUUAGUUUGCGUUUCACAAUCACGGAUAAGUGCUAUCUCUCUUUAACCAACAGUAGAUAGCUUCUUCCCUCCGAUUUAUCCGAGCCUCUUGAUACGUUUCGUUCUACUACAAAUACGAAACAACAUCAGGAUCAAGACUUAUUUUAUUUUAUUCUAAAUUAUAACUAUAAUUUAACCAGCAUAUUGUAGACUAUCAUAAACACAUUUGUUUAUAACAAAAAGUAAUAAAAACAUAUGUAGAUUUUUUUAAAUUGGACGUAUUGCUAUUUUUAUCCUAGUCGAAAUUAUGAAACGAAACGUUUUGACAGUCCGUUUGCCAAUAAGCAGUGAUCAGUUUCUUUUGUUUGUUUUUCUAUUGUUUACCUACUAUAUUAGAUGAUGACUUACCUCCAAAACGCUUUAAAACUUUCGUUUAUAAUUCUAAGUGUGUUUAUAAUUAAAGAGCUACAGUGAAAUAAAAUGAAUUCUUCAAGAAAGGCAGCACCCAUGACAAAAGAUGAGACGAUGAUUCUAGCAGAACUUGUGGCGGCGAAAAAACAUUUCAAUAAUAAGGCAACAAAUGCCACAAACAAUAAAUUGAAGGAGCAGGCUUGGCAAACCCUUGUAAAUGAUUUUAAUUUGUCGAUUCGUCGUUUCCCACGAACUCCAUCGCAGCUUCGACUAAAAUGGGAAAACUUAAAGAACGCUACGGCAACAUAAGAAACAACCUUAGUAAGGUUAGUAUAAUUAGUUGAUUGUUUGUCUCUAAUAACACAUUGAUAAACAUGAUUUUUUCUUCAGGUUGCCGUAGUAUUUGAAAUAAUUAUGCUCUUUGUUACAGGCUAGAGGUGGUAAGGAUUGCAGAUGAAAAUUUGGAUAAAGCAUGCACAUUGUUGUAGGUCACAUAUAAUAUUUUUAACACUUUUACAGCCAAGCGGAAACAAGAUGGAAGAAAAGAAAUGCAAGGCUAGCAUAGGGACAAUGCAUUAGCAGAAUAUCUAAUAGCAAAAAAGAGACUUGACUUGGAAAAUAAAGAAAAGGAGAUUGUUGUAGCAAAAGUUAAGUUAGAUUUAGAUAAUUUAAAAAAUUAAAAAUUACUUAAAAGGAAUAUUAAAUUUCAUAAAUUAAGUAGGCAAUAGUAAUUUUAUGUUAGAUAGUUUUUUAAGUAUAUGUACAAAUUCUAAAUUAAAUAUCUUGCAUGUACUAACUACCAUGUAAUUAUCAUUUUGGAAAAUAAAAAAUAGUCAAAUUA